UUGGCUUGUCUCCCCUCUUUCACUUACAUGAACCUGGUAAUGAACGCUGGACAUCUUAAUCGAACGGGUUGCAAAUGCAUCCGAAAAUUAUUCUUUCUUUCAAUGGUAUAAGCGGGACUUGGGAAACUUUGUUCGCCUAAGUAUUGUGAAUUUCCGACCUGAACCUCCUCAUGCUUCAUUCGUAAACGGGGAAAGGGGAAAAGGCUCAAGUUUAUUCGGACCUUUCUGACGCACGCAUCUGACAUGUGAGGAGGCAGCAGGAAACUGUGGUCAAUAUUCUAGGUUUCUGUUAGAGUUUAGAACAUGCUGUAUGUCCCAGAGAACACGUCCUGUUCAGCAUCAUAUGGGACGACCGUGUUAGUUUAAUUCGUGUCUCCCAACGUGCAUCCCAGGAGGUGUGGAUUAGAAAGUUUAAUUCACUCUUUCUCGUCGUACCUCUGUAUAUCAACCCGUUCCUUUCUGUCUUUGUCUUAUUUCUCCCAAAGUAUUAAGAAGCUUUUGUGGUUUGCAUGAUUUAAGGUGUCAUCUUGAUGGUCUUUUCUCUCCACCGACUGGUUCAUGAGACUUUAGAUGAACUUCCAAACGUUAUUCAAGUAGCAUGGGUGCAUGAGUCACAUAAAAAGCAUUUCAAGAUAAUAAAAUUAUUCAUUAGGUGUUACUGGCAUCAGAAUGAUAGAAUAAUGAUUCCUAUGAUGACAACCCAUGAUGCUUUUUCAAGGAGAGAAUUUAAGACUAUAGUUUUAUCGUGUUAUUUUGGAUCCUACUCUGGUUCAAAAAGUAACGUGAUUAUAAACAUCAAAUCUAAUCUAUCAAUGAUUAUUGUGAAAUCUAUCAAAGUGGCUUGAUUUUAAUGUAAAUGUAUCAGUUUUUUUUUAUCGUUCACCUCUUCGUAAGAAGACCACACUCUUUGUUUAUUUAUCUCUGCAAUAAAUAUACAUUUAUAUACCCUUAAACAAGUGGUUCUGUAUGCCUUUUGGUUCAUUCAUUUUCCCUUUGCUCGCCCAAGUUUUAAAAAUCCUGCUACAAUCCAUCGAGCAUACUGUGAUGUCUAAAAGGACAUGCCGAUUCCGUACAUUAAAGGAUUGUCACCGCCCAGCCUUUUCACUGGUGAUUGGCAUUUACAUAGUAUGCAUCCUGUGCUUUUAUUUAAGGAGAUGGGUUUGCCUGGGAGUGUCGAAAUUGAUUUCCCUUAUCGUUUUCAUUUCACCUUUUUGGGUAGAUAUCCUCCAGAGGAAAUAAAUCAUGCAAACAGUCCCCUAAGUACCGUCUAUGCAGUCUCCUGGGCGUUGGAACCAUUAAUGUUCACUGUAUAAGAUUCAACUGAACAACAUUUAUUAAACAGCCAGUUCAGAGAAUGCCCCCAUUUUCCAAAGUAUUCAAGCAAUUGCUUUGAAGGAAGGAUUUUUAAGGCGGAAGGGGAAGUAAUGAUAAUUUAGGAGCAAUUGCAGAUUUCUUCAGUGGAAUUUGAUUGGUACCUAGAUAAUCAUAUUUUUUUUCGUUUUUUCUUGUCAGUACAGUGUACAUAUAAAGUUUAGGAGAAAUUGCAGAUUUCUUCAGUGGAAUUUGAUUGGUACCUAGAUAAUCAUAUUUUUUUUCGUUUUUUCUUGUCAGUACAGUGUACAUAUAAAGUAUAUAACUUCAUUUUUAGAGCAAUUUCAAAUCCAUAAACGGCCUACCCAGCGCUUAUUUAUUUCUAGUGAAAUUUAUGAAAUUUCGAGAAAGUAAUAUGUGCUCAGUAAAGUAGGAUUUAUUAUCUUUUUUUAUUAAUUAUGCGUGAUAGAGAAUGGUAAUUAAUUUUGUCUAUAUUUUAUUCUCUUAACUCUAUACUCACUACUUUGCUUUAAUACAUCUUAUAGUCACAUGACACUUGUUUUAUAAUUUGUAGGAACCGGCACAUUCCAAACAUCCUCAGCUGCAUUAUGAAUCUAAAGUGUAUAACCUUAUUCAGGGAGGAAGUGAGUAUUUCUAACGGUCGGACGUGCUAUUUUUCUAUUAUUGCCUACUUUUCUUCAGUUGUAAUAGAAAGUCCUGAAACGUUUUAUUUGUGCCAUGCUGAUUUAUCUAAUCUUGAAUGAAGCUGGAAUUCCCCACAUGAGAUGGUUUGGUGUGGAGGGCGACUAUAACAUCAUGGUCAUGGAUCUUCUUGGACCAAGCUUAGAGGACUUAUUUACCUACUGUAGUAGAAAGCUCACUUUGAAAACAGUGCUGAUGCUUGCAGAUCAAAUGGUAAAUGAUAAUAAAGCUAACACUAGUUCCAUUAGAUCUCCACAAUUUUUGGCAUCACUGAUAAUCUUUUUUGCUUUGUUUUACAGAUCAACCGAGUUGAAUACAUCCACUCAAGGGGCUUCCUUCAUCGAGAUAUAAAACCAGAUAACUUUCUUAUGGGUUUAGGGCGUAAAGCAAAUCAGGUACAUCUUUCCCUUCUAGGACUUCUUCUUUUGGGGGUUCAGUGGAUUCUGAAUUUAUUUAAUGCCAGGAGAAAGGAUGUAAAGUCCUAUGCUGAUUCCAACUAUUGAAUACCAACUAAAUGUGUGUGCUCAAUAAGAGUGGAUCUACCGCAAUACCUUACUAUUUUCCGUUGUUGUGUGUCAGAGUUUUACUUCAUAGUUUUUCAUGGAGCCUAUUUUCACAUUUACUAAAUAAUUAAGAAUUAAUUUCUCUUAGAGAGUGUGUAUUUUAUGAUUAAAUGAAUGAUUAUUUUCAUUUUAUUUAUAUACAAGAACAGGAUCAUGAUCGUAUAUCAUUCUCAUUUUAAAUGCAGGUUUACAUUAUUGAUUUUGGCCUUGGAAAGAGGUAUAGAGACUUGCAAACACAUAAACAUAUUCCCUACAGGUAAUUCUUUUGUUUUUUUAAAGAAAGAAGGAACCUCAUAUAAAAUUUCUCGUCUAACAUAAUUUCUUGUCUAUGCUUGUUAUUUGAAUGGCCACAUCUCCUGCAUUGUAGUUCAAUUAUUUCAUUGGAGCGUCAUCCUAAUUAAGACCUUGCCUUAUAAUCUCUUUUUGCAGUAUACAUCUCGUUUCCUUCCUUUCCAAAUCCCAAUCAGUUUAUAAUUGGUUGUACUGGUUUAGAAGGGCAGCACAGUCUUACCUCAGCCUUUCUCAUGAUCAUGUUCCUAAAGACGACAGGCUGUUAAGCUUUACUGGGGUAUUGGAUCGGAUUCCCUGUAAAAUGGUUAGAAAUAACAAAGGAAAUCGUCAUUUUUUCUGGGACUGUAAUUCCUGAUUUUUAAGUAUCGUAAUUUUUCACGAUUCUUGGUGGAGCGAACUGCUGAGUUAUCAUCCCAUUUUUAUUUUCUAUGUUUUUAUAUAACGAAAUGGCAUAUGUCAUUAUGCUAUGAAGCACUGUCCUUGAUCUAAAAAAGGGCAAUGUUGAAGCUGUUUGGUAGAGAGGCACAGUGAUUGCCAUAAUGUUCCAGAACAAGAAAGUGAGCUUUUCUGGAAUGGUCCUCACUGUCAUCGUGCAGAAUGUGAGAAGAUUGUGCAGAGGGUUUUAAAAGCUCGUUGUUGAAAUUAUAUUUUUCUUUGCAUUCUGUGAUAUGGGCGAUAGUUCUUUGGACCUAGCGUGUGUUACACUUGCUGUUGGCUGUGGUAUUUUCUCAUCUGACUGAGGUAUCUAUCCCCAGUUAUCACCCCUAUGUAUAUGUGGGUUUGCAAAGUGCGUAUGUGAUGUGACUCGUGUUAAUUCACAGAGUGAAGCUUCUUCUUUUGAUUCCUACCUGUGGUUGCGCAGUCUUUAUGCCGUUGUAAAUCCUUUGCUUAAUUCGACUGGCCAACCUUUUUUGCAGGGAAAAUAAGAGCCUAACAGGAACAGCUCGAUAUGCUAGUAUCAAUACUCACCUCGGCAUUGGUGAGGGGAUCUUGGUUCACGUGUUGAUAACCGAUGAUUUUCCUGUUUUCUCAUUUUAUGCAACAAAUAAGAGCCUAACAAGGGUUUAUCUUGUUGGUGCAGAACAAAGUAGGAGAGAUGAUCUCGAGUCUCUAGGUUAUGUUCUCAUUUAUUUCCUAAGAGGAAGGUUUGAAUCGAUGACAUUCUCUGCUGUGGAGUAUUGAGUGUGCCUAAUCGGUUUCUCCUUUUAUUCUCCUAUCUGAUUACUUUUUCAUCAGUCUUCCCUGGCAGGGCCUCAAAGCUGGCACAAAGAAGCAGAAAUACGAGAAAAUCAGUGAAAAGAAAAUGCUUACUCCAAUAGAGGUGACUUGAGUUGCUUCUCUACUAGUUAAUUCCAUUUCAAUUUUAUAAGGUUUACCAAUGCUGGGGUAACUUUUACAUUUCUAGAUAACUGUUGGUGACUGUUAAAGAUUACUGAUUUUUUCAAAACUAUGAACAGGUUUUGUGCAAAAAUUUUCCACCAGAAUUCAUGUCAUACUUCCAGUAUUGCAGAUCGUUGCAGUUUGAUGGCAAACCCGAUUACUCCUACUUGAAGCGACUUUUCCGCGAUCUCUUUAUCCGAGAAGGUAUGUGUAAGCGAGUUUAGCAGUCACGGUUUAUCCCUCUGUUCGUCACCGAAGCUUUUCAAGUGGGCAACAGUAUCUAUUUUUGAACACUCCCCUGCGUGAUGGUUGAUAUCGCUUAGUUUUUUUUUUUCUCAGGCUAUCAGUUUGAUUAUGUAUUUGACUGGACUAUAUUGAAGUACCCGGGACAUCUAAGCACUGGGGUACAUUUUUUUCUCAGGCUAUCUAUCGUUUGUUUUCUUGACCGUGGUAUUUUUCAAAAUUUGGCAUGUCGAAAAUGCAUGUUCACAUGGAUCAAUUGCCCAUCUUUCAGUCGCAGACUGGAGAAACAGGUGCAGGCAUUGGAUCAUCUGCUAGUAGACCAGAACGGACAUCAGGUUUGAUUUAGGAAACGUUGAUUUUACAGAUCGUUCAGAAAAUCUCAUCCGUUUGUUUUUAUGAUUCACUAUUGUGGUAUAGAAGCCCUCCUCUCAAUGCUCAUGCUAUCCAUUCUCUGGGGCAAAAGAUUCGUAAUAGAUUCUCUGGUGCAGUCGAGGCGCCUGCUAGAAGGAAUGGCUCAGGUUCUGGUCGCCUUGCUGAUCACUUCAAGCUCAAACUAUCGGAGGAAGUGCCUACGUCAUCCAAAGAACCUGUCAGUCCUCAACUCCCUAACCUUUCCAGUUAAUUUCCUUGCUCGCAUGAUUUUUCAUGUCACACAAAAUCGAAUCCUAAGAAACAAGUCCAUGCGGCCCAUAGAAGAAAAGAAAAUCUGGAGAGUUGGAUUGGCUGGUUCUAGGGCUCUUUGAUUAUUAAUUCGUAUCAUAAUGUUGAUGAGGUUUCUGGUAACGUUUUUGAGUUCUACGCAUCGCUCUUAAUCUGUGCGCGCACAGGCGCGCAUGCUUCGCGGAUGAUUUGCCGGCUAGUUUUGGAUCGUUGACCGCAACGCGUUGCUCUCGUGCGAUGCGGGACGACUCGAUGAUUGCUCUCCAAUUGUGUGUUCUUGGACGCCAGUGGGGCUCGCUCGUGGAUUAUUCCGGUCAGCGGACUUAGAUCGCCGGACACCGACGUCUUUCUUCUGCCCGCUGUUUUUCAGAUGGCAGAUUCCGAGAAUCCCGGGGGCUCCUCGUCGCGGAACGGCAGCAGCUCGAAGAGGGCCGUGGUCUCGAGCAGCAGGACCCCGAGCUUCUCCUGCGAGCCCAUCGACCAGCAGCUGGCCCGCGCCAGCCGUGUGAUUUCGGACAUCAGCGCCCGCCCAGCCGCCGCCGCCGCCGCCGCCGCCCCGAGGAUUCCUCCCUCCGCCCUCGAAUCCGCUCCCAAGGUCCUCCCUCGCCACACCGUCGGGAGGAGCUCCCGCGACGACGCUCUCAAGGCGUUGGAGUUCCUCUCCAUAGCGGCCGAGAAGAGGAAGUGACGGCCAUGCGUGCCUCUCUCCCUCGCUUGCCACCAGUACUGAGCUGAGGAGGAAGGCUUCUCGCGCCGCCCCGCCCCGAUGUCGAAGGCGGCGAACGAGUGCCCCAACUCCCUCCGGGCUUGUUGUUUGACGUUUACACCACUUGUGUGUUGGACCCCGACCGGGCUCUUCUUCUUCUUCUUCACUGAGGUUCCUCCUGUAUAAACGAAGAAGAAAAAAAAAAAACUCUCGUGGAGCUUUUUCGUCCCCAUCAUUGUCUUUGAUCACAGCAUCUCACCCACCCUCAAUUUUCUAACCCUCUCUCUCUCUAUCUUAUCUCUCCACCGCGAGCUCCAGUGUCUUCGAGCGGUACAAUAUGGUGGUAGGAAUCUGUCUAUUCUCUCUCUCUCUCUCUAAGAAAUAUCUAUAUAUAGCUCUGAGUUUUGGGGCAGCCGUUCUGAGUUCUGGGGACUAUGGAUUGGAGGAGCUAAAGAGUUAUUACGGGUGGGGUGGUCGGUUUGUUUGCUGCUGAUCGUUGGAAGCCUUCAGUUAUUCGGAGGAUUUGGGCGUCGGAGUCGACUGAGGUGAAAAGUCGCCGUGUUUUCGUCGAUUUUUAGGUGUUCAUGGUAUUCUGUUCCUAGGCUGCUUGAAUUCUUGGUUGUUGAAAGAUAAUUACGUCGCCCUUGCCGCAUAUUCGGGCAACUUCCAGCCAUGGAACGCGUCAUUGCUGGGAAAUUUAAGCUUAGGAGAAAGAUCGGCGCUGGAUCUUUUGGCGAGAUUUACCUCGGUAUUUUGGUAUAGAGGCCUUCCUGUUCCGCCUCUUUUGGGUGAUCAUUCGCUAUCCGCGAUUCUCGCGAGGUUCCUAAUUUUGCUCUUCGUUUGUUUGCCUUUUUCAAGGUGUUAACCUACAAAGUGGAGAAGAGGUCGCCGUCAAGUUGGUAUGUCUUGUUGGCUUGUCUCCCCUCUUUCACUUACAUGAACCUGGUGAAGAAAUGAACGCUGGGCAUCUUAAUCGAACGGGUUGCAAAUGCAUCCGAAGAUUAUUCUUUCUUUCAAUGAUAGAAGCGGCGCCCUCCUUUGGUCCAUUCAUUUUCCCUUUGCUCGCCCAAGUUUUAAACAUCCUGCUACAAUCCAUCGAGCAUACUGUGAUGUCUAAAAGGACAUGCCGGAUUCCGUGCAUUAAAGGAUUGUCACCGCCCAGCCUUUUCACUGGUGAUUGGCAUUUACAUAGUAUGCAUCCUGUGCUUGUAUUUAAGGAGAUGGGUUUGCCUGGGAGUGUCGAAACUGAUUGCCCUUAUCGUUUUCAUUUCACCUUUUUGGGUAGAUAUCCUCCAGAGGAAAUAAAUCGUGCAAACAGGCCCCUAAGUUGUGUCUAUGCAGUCUCCUGGGCGUUGGAACCAUUGAUGUUCGCUAUAUAAGAUUCAUCUGAACAACAUUUAU
rnacentral:lncRNA from 1 species